AAAAUUGAAAGUGAAAAUUGCGCUGCAAAAUACGAAAAUUUUUUGAAAUUGUUAAAAAACUGAAUUAAAUUCGAUAAAACUCAUUUAAAGCCAGAAUAAGUUGUGCAGCAACAUGUGUGGAGGAUUUACCUGCUCGAAGAAUGCGCUCAUAGCGCUCAACAUUUUAUAUGUGAUGAUUGGUUUCCUGCUGAUUGGCGUGGGGGUCUAUGCGCGGGCCGCCUCCAUUGUCACCAAUCUGCCCAUUGUGGGCGGCAUCCUGGCCUGCGGCGUCAUCCUCAUCUGCAUCUCCAUGCUGGGCCUCGCCGGCGCUGUGAAGCACCAUCAAGUGAUGCUCUUCUUUUACAUGAUCAUCCUGUUUAUGCUCUUCCUCAUUCAGUUCUCCAUUGCCAGCUCUUGCCUGGCCGUCAAUGCCGAGCAGCAGCAGCAGUUUGCCGAGCAGGGAUGGAUGACAGUGCCCCCAGAGUUGCGGCAACAGGUGCAGGAGAGCCUCGACUGCUGCGGCUUCAAUGCCACCAGCAGCAUCAACCUUCCGACCACUCCACUCGCUCCGACAGAUGAACCCUCCUGCGAGCUGGUCAAUCGAAAGUGCUGCGAACAGUCGAACGAUGUGGAUUGCCAUUGCCCGGCCUGUGGUCCCAUGCUGGAGGACAAGAUCGACUAUGCCUUCAAGCUGUGCGGCGGUCUGGGCAUCUUCUUCAGCUUCACCGAGUUUGUGGGCGUCUGGCUAACCGUGCGCUAUCGCAAUCAAAAGGAUCCGCGCGGCUUGCCCAGCGCAUUCCUUUAAAUUGUCCCCUAAAUCAGAAAAGAACAAUUAAUCCCCCAAUAGAAGACAUAGCAACAGGCAAAGUUAUAUAGAUUUAUGUGUGUGUAUCUCUGUCUCUGUGUAUUUCCCUUUCUGCGAAAUGUUGCUAUGGAUGUUGGGGGUAGAAUUCAUGGGUCAUAGACCAAAAGAGAGCUCUUUGGGUCUGCAUACAUCUUAUAUAUUUAUACCAUCUACAGAUACAUAUAUAAAUACAGACAUACAUAUAUACAGAUCUAUAUAUAAACGCAUUACAGCAUAGAUACAUAUGUACGUAAUGUGUGUUAGUACGUAAUUGAUAUACAAUACAACUUUAGACAUAUAUACACUCGUACAGAUAUAGUGUUAUAGACAUAUAGAGGAGGAGAGAGCCAUAUAAAGCAAUCAACAAUCCCCUUCUUCCUUACCCUGCAUUCUAACACUCUUUUAACUAACUGAAAAACCAACUGUCGGGGCUCUUUGACUAAGCCUAAUCGAGCAGAGGCGAGAGGGUCUUGGCCGUUUUCUUGGCGCGUCGCUAUCGCAAUCAACAUGAUCCCUGCUAUCUGCCUGCACGUGCCGUCUUUCCCCACAACUAUCUAUACUGAUUGGCCCAUGAACAUGGUGAAGGAUUGAAUAAUUUUGAUAAAGGAACGAUACAUGGAUGGUGCAUUUUUAGUCAAAGGGACGAAGGCUGAAUAUUCUUAUUUGUACAACACACACACAGGCAAUACGUUUCCUAGCAAGAAUCGAAUACCAGACUCAAACAAGAGAUAACUCGAAAGCAGAGAAGAGAGAGAGAGAGAGUGCUCAACUGCUGCUGCUUCCUGCUGCUGCUGCUAAUUUUUAAAUAAUUUUUAUUGUACAUUUAUAAGUUUGUUUGAAUUGCACAAAAAUGGAGGCGGCAUAUGUGCGCCCCAAAUGGAGAUUAUUUCUAGCUGUAAUGUUUUAUAUUAAAUUAAGUUGUGCUGUUCUUUCACACCUCUGUUAGCUAUUUUAAAAGCCUUUCUUUGCAACUCGCAACAAUCAUGAAUGACUCAACUGCUGUACCACGAGAGAAACUACGACAAGAGAAACAUUUCGGAAACCUGAUCUUCAAGUAGAAUCUAACAACCAAGUCAACAAUUGUAACUAGCAACCUAGUAAGCAACUAAAACUAAAACUAAACUAAACCUAGGCAUAACGUAACACAUCAACCUAUAUACAUACGAAACGUGUUUGCAUAUUCAACAAUACUCUAAAUGUUAGUUGUGUGUUAAUGAUCCAAAAAGAACAAAAACAAAACCAAAACCAAAAAAAACAUAAACAUAAAGUAACCCAACUACAAAAUAUACAUACAUGUCAACAAUUAAACAACUCUCUAAAAGAAAGAUAGAAAACCUCCUACCACACAGCUCUCUUCCACAGUUUACACCCUGUUUUCCGCACUUGCUCGACUUUCUCUGCCACUUUUCUCCAUCUCUCUAUGUCUUAAUUUACAGAACAAACACACAACACACCACACCACGCACACACAACACACAACACAUGGAAAUAGUUUUUCCCUUGUUUCCGCAUUUCCAAUUUCCUUUCGAGCGACAAAUAAACCAUUAGAUAAUAUUCUCUGUAUUCUGUGCUGUGAUUGAAGUAAAUAUGAUCUAUAAAACAACAA